CUGGGCGUUCCUCCAAAUCGGCUGGACCACGCGGAACGCCUCACUCGUGACUCUUCCCUUCCUCCACGACUCACCCACCCCGCGCCCCAGCCACCCACGACCUCUCCUCUCCUCUCUCCCUGGAUGGCCAUACCGGCGGCCGGCGGCCGUAGCACCUUCCCCUCCUGCGGGGCACCAUCUUCUGCCCCUGGUCGGAACUGCAGCCUCGCCGGCGUCCCCUGCCCCUUGUCUCUCCUCCUCGAACCCCAAAGAUCUGGUGGAAGGAGGCAUGCGGCCUGGUGCGACAGGAAGGCCGGCCGAGCUUUCUACCAUGGCUACCGAGCUCAAGUGGCUGGACGGCCUCGGUGCCGAAAAGUAACUGAAGGAGCAAGUGCACUUCACCCAUAGAUGACUUCACCCCACCGUCGGCUGAAAAAGAACAGGAGGAGUAUGGCCGAAUUUGGGUGGCUGCUGUUGAUCCAGAUUUUGGUAUCUGGGUAGCUGCUCUUGAUAUUUUGGUAUUUGUAGUAGCUCUACCGGAUUUUGGUAUUUGGGUAGCUGUUGUUGACCGAAUUUGGGUGGCUGCUGUUGAUUCAGAUUCAGACUUUGGUAUUUGGGUGGCUGCUGUUGAUCUUGUGUUUCAGUCCGAUUCUUUUCUUUCUGUUUCUCUACGAUUUGUUUUUGACAGAGUGUGCUCAAG
rnacentral:rRNA from 1 species